rnacentral:sRNA from 1 species
GCUGGGCAUGGUGGUGCAUGCCUGUAAUCCCAGCUACUUGGGAGGCUGAGGCAGGAGAAUUGCUUGAGCCCGUGAGGCGGAGGUUGCAGUGAGCCAAGAUUGAGCCACUGCACUCCAGCCUGGGCAACAGAGUGAGACUCUGUCCCAA